GAUGGACGCUGGCGGCGUGCCUAAUACAUGCAAGUCGAGCGAACAGAUGAGGAGCUUGCUCCUCUGACGUUAGCGGCGGACGGGUGAGUAACACGUGGAUAACCUACCUAUAAGACUGGGAUAACUUCGGGAAACCGGAGCUAAUACCGGAUAAUAUAUUGAACCGCAUGGUUCAAUAGUGAAAGACGGUUUUGCUGUCACUUAUAGAUGGAUCCGCGCCGCAUUAGCUAGUUGGUAAGGUAACGGCUUACCAAGGCAACGAUGCGUAGCCGACCUGAGAGGGUGAUCGGCCACACUGGAACUGAGACACGGUCCAGACUCCUACGGGAGGCAACAGUAGGGAAUCUUCCGCAAUGGGCGAAAGCCUGACGGAGCAACGCCGCGUGAGUGAUGAAGGUCUUCGGAUCGUAAAACUCUGUUAUUAGGGAAGAACAAAUGUGUAAGUAACUAUGCACGUCUUGACGGUACCUAAUCAGAAAGCCACGGCUAACUACGUG
rnacentral:rRNA from 1 species